CUCCACCUCCCCCUCGCUCGCCCGCGUGCUCGGAUCAGAGCCCACCCGAACCCGCGCGUGCUCCCCAAACCCUAAAUCCCCAACGGUCUCCUGCUUCCAAACCCCCAUCAAACCCAUCCCGCCCUCGAUUUCCCGCCCAAUCCCCGCUCCCCGCCACCGCGCGAUCCCGCCGCGCCGUCUCGCGCCGACCGAAUUCGAAUCCCGCCGGGGGCGCGAGCUCGAGGCGGGCGGGAGGGCGGUCGGGCGCGCAAUUCCGGCGCGCGGCUGCGUCUAGCUCCCCCCGGCUCGCCCUGGAUGGUGGCGCGGACGGCGUGGCUGAAGGAGAGAUCUAACCCUAGCUCCGGAUCUGGGACCGCCACGCCCGCCAGGUGCUCGACGGUAUGACCGGUCGGGAGCGGCGGGAGGACAAGAGGGAGCAGUAUGAGUGACCGCGCGGGCAGCAGCGGCAGCGGCAGCGGGGACGAGUUCGGGAGGGCCGUGGCGCGGGCGGCGGUCGCGCAGGCGCUCGAGGCCGCGGGCUUCGACUGCACGCACCGCUCGGCCGUGGACGCGCUCGUGGACGUCCUUCUCCGCUACCUCACGCACCUCGGGAGGGCCGCGGCCUUCCACGCCAACCUCGCCGGCCGCGCGCUCGCCAACGAGUACGACAUCAUCCAGUCCCUCGAGGAAAUCGGCACCGACUUUGAUGGCUUCGCCGGGGCCGGCACCUCAGGCCGCUGCCUCGUCGGCUCAGGCGUCGUCAAGGACCUCAUGGCGUUCGUCGACUCCAAGGACGAGGUGCCAUUCACGCGUCCGUUGCCCAAGUUCCCUAUACCCCGCGCUCCGCAGCCCACACCCAGCUUUGCUGUGGCUGAGAGGGAGACUGGGAUGAGGCAUGUUCCCGAGUGGCUACCGGCCUUUCCGGACCCACACACCUACGUCAGGACAGAGGUGUGGAGUGAGCAGGCGGCCAAGGACAGGGUGGACAUGGUCGAACAGGUGCGGCAGCGGAGGAAGGCCGAGAAGUCGCUGCUCAGUUUGCAGCAACGAUUGGCCCUUGCGGGCGCUGAUGGGUUUCGGCCAGUGGUUUCUGAGGAUAGUGUAGCCAAAGGGAAGGAGACACAACCAGCUGGGAGCAAGAGAAAUCCUUUUCUUGAGCCUGCUUUGCCGCAUGGAGACAAGGAGGUGUCAGAGGUUGAUAUCCCUUCUGAGCGGAAGAAACUUUCUGUCCUUGAUGCAUUUGCACCAGCAAUUCAGGGUGCAAGUGCUAUGGAGCUUGAUUCUGGGACAGGUUGGGACCAGAAUCAGAACCAAAAGAGCAUUGUUCCAAAGGUGAGGGCACCAGUGCACCUGAAGAUUGGAGUAAACAAGAAGCCCCUGGCAGUGGCCCUCAAUUCAAAUUCCAUGGAUCUGAGGGAGGACCCGUCGUUUUUGAAGGAGGAACAAAAGGAUGACCGGAAGCGGAGGGCUGGGAUGAUAUUGAGGGCAUCAAUGGAUAACCCACAGGAACUGCCCCAGAUUUAAUAUGGUUGGUAGAAGUGCAGUGCCCAGCAUGGAGUUGCAUUAUGGCGAGCUGUAGUGUGGGAGAAGGGAUCUAUGAUCAUUUCAGUUUGACGGUGGAUCUCCAAUUUGUGGAAUCUUGAGGCCAGGUAUCCUACGAUGCAACCUUCGGCGUACUGGCAAGCUCGAACCUUUGUAACCUGCACCCAGUCUCUCCUGUCAGCAUCAGCAUUGGGAUCCCCGGAGAUUAUUAGGUUUGUAGUUCCUGCUUGUUCCGACAUAUCACUGGAAUGAAGCAAGCCUUUUUCGUAGGGAGCUGAUUUUGGAGACCAUCCAAAGGCAUGAUGCUCCUCCUUUGUAGCUAGGAAGACAGAGAGGAGAUGAUUGUACAAAAACUGACUUGAUUUUUCUGACCAACGCUCCUCUCAACACAGAGGAAGGGAUUUACGUGUUGAUUUGGUUGGCUAAUCCAGCUGCAUCCGUGUAAUGGUGAUCACCCAUUCGUUGUAUUGCUUUCUGUGAUUGGAGCGUGUUGAUUAGUGCGCCCCUGCUGAGGCUGUAACGGCAUUGUACUAUACAACAUUCUUUUGGCCUGUUUCAUUCAACUGUGUAUCUGAUCCGAGCUGGGCACCCUUUGAUUCUUCAUAUAUGUUGAUUCCAUCUCUGUCACUCCCAUCUGCUCUCUUUUAGACGGUUUAUGUAUGUACGAUAAUCUGGA